UACCAGCACUAACGCACCGGAUCC
rnacentral:siRNA from 1 species